ensembl:lncRNA
CGUAGUCUGAUUAAAGCUAACGUAGCAUUAAGCUAACGUAGCAUUAAGCUAACGAUGUUUGUGUUGAGUUUCAUGUAAACAGCUGAAGUGGGUUGUGUUACUGUAAUGUGGUGCACUUAGUUAAUAUAACUGUUCAUGGAGACGCUGGUUCACAUUAAUGUAACGUUUAGAAAACCUAAAUGUGAUUAAAACAGUAAGGUUAAGGUUCUGUGUUGUCAGUAGUCCUGAAUAUCUGCUGAGUCUCUGAAGUUAAACUGGAGAAAACAGUAAAUCUGCUCUCUAGUCGUUAACGUUGUUUAAUGACUGAUUCACAUGUUGUAGUACAUCUUAGUGCAGAUUAGAAAAAAACCUCCCAGAAUAUGUCCAAAAUAAUGAUGAACACUACAGUUAUUACAUUUAAAUUACAGCACAGAGAAGCUGGAUAAUAAAAUCCUCUCCUCUAAAGCUAAAGUGACUACAGGCCUUUCUGUCUUUCAGUGCUUGGAAAACUACAUGAAAUAGGAAAUCUGUCCAGGGUCACUUUAAAAUGAACCUCUGCUGUUGAUGCUGAUACUGGAAUGUCUGUCUUCAUCUCAGGUGUCUCAUGUUCACUGUGAGGAUCUUCUGAGUGAAGCGACCAGCAGAAAAAACCUCAUCUGGAUGUGAAGGAGACUGAAUGGACGACAUCCUCAGUGAACCACUUCCUGUUUAGCUUUCACUUACAGAAGAGUGAAAGUAGCAGUUCCUCCUGAAGGUCAGAGAUUGCAGCAUCUGAGGGCCUCUUCAAAAGAAGACGUAGUUGAUGAAGGCGUUCUGGAGCAGGACCAGAAAGACCACGACCAAGCAGCCUUGAGAUCUUAGACAGCGUCUCCCUGAGGUCCCUCUCUAUCUCCCCACACAUCUACCAACCACUGGAACACAUCUCCAAAGUUCUUCUGGACCAGCUCAGCUUCCCCUCAGAAGAAGUGGCGCCACCUGCCAGAUGAAGGAGCCUUUUGAGAGGCAGCUGGCAUCGUGAUUGGACUGUACUUUGGUCUGUUCCAAUCCAGCUUCAGCUCCAGAGACGGCAGGCGGGACGAGUCAACGGAGGCCUGGUGGACGAAGACCAAAGAACUACAGACUCUUCACAACCUGCUCAAACUCUUGGUACAGGACCUCACCACACGGGUCAAGAAGGUUUCCUUCUCAUUUCUACUCUGAAGCUCACCUUCUCCUGCUCAAACUGCUGACAAAUGUUUCUGCUGCUCUAAAGUCUGGUCUCCAGAACUUCCUAAAAACUCUCAAAGUCUCUUCUGCUGCAGGUUGCUUUGUAGAACUGUUGCAGAAAACCUCACUAAACCACAUGGAGGGGCCUCAAGAUAGUCGUCCAAAUGAAACCAUACAAAAACCAAACUAGCACAACCCAAACGCUAAAGUCUCCUGCAGCCUACCAGAGAACCUCUGAAAACAGAGAAUCAGGACAGGAACUCUUACCUUCUGGACAACCAACGUUGGUUCUCAAACAAGAAUACAGAAUGUGUCUGACCAAAAACCUCUGAAGACUCACUACAGCCAAGAUAAAGACACAGCUGCACCAAAUCCACUAAUCACUGCACACAUUAGAACCAUGUGCUAACUGUGGCUAAAGAACCACAUUUACCAAGACAACUAUCCAGUACAAAGCCCUAAAACACACCAAGAAACACAUUAAAGAUGAUUUUACUGCUGGAAGCUGCAAGCCAACGCCUAAAAAACAAACUAAAGAAACGGAGCCAAACCCGGUUCACUGGUGAACAGAAGCAGAGGAAAUGUUUGGCUGCAGCUAAAUAAAGCAGGAAGACACUGAGCUGCUCAGGUGUUCCUGAUAACACCAAGCAGCCACCUGGACAGCCAAUAGGAACACAGCUUCCUGGAAGUCCAGAGGGCUGGCUUAGUCAAAGAAAUUUAGUUUAAAGUUGAAGCAGAAAGUUAACAAAGAAAGUUGAAAACCACCUUCUGAUCCCUGGAGCAGUGAUAUACUGCAGGAUACACCAUAUGCUCUACUUUGAUGGACUGCAUGACAAAUUCUCCCAUAAAUUCUAUGCUGGCAAGAUUAAUCUGACAUUUUGAGACAUAAUAGUAUUCAGUUUCUGUCUGUAUGGAAACUGCAAAGCUAGAAUGAACAGUCAGUCAACUUGAUUUAGCAUCAAACCCCAAGGAGUAGGAAAGAGCUGCAAAGUUUUGUAAAAAAUUGAAACUAGACUGAAUAAAAAUAUAAAC